rnacentral:lncRNA from 1 species
AGAUCAAGGCUGAAGUCUCAGCUGGAGUGAAAUAUGCGAAUUUGAGAAUGCCACUCAAAUAAGUAAGAUGUGGGUGACAGGGAAGAGGAACACUCCUCUGUGUCCCUUUUGCAAACAAGCUGAUUCCUGCAGUGGGUCUGGCUCCACUUGCAGCUGACCUAGGAAGAAGUGCUCAGAGCCAGGUGUUGCCUUUAUAGUACGCAGAAGGGGUGUGUCUUCCUGGCAAGUCCAAGCUGGGUGGAGAGGCCUUUUCUCUGGUGACCCUUUAAAACUGAGCUUGCAGGUC